UUCGCUAUUCACAUGAUAUUCUUUCACCCGAUUUAUUUACUUUCGUUUGUGAUUCUUGUGGUAACUCAGUGUUUAAGACUUUGGACACCUGUUUGGAAGGGUAUUAUUUUCACAUAUUUUCACGUGAUUCUUUCAUACCAUUAAUUUGUCAAAUGAUUCUUUCACAUGAUUCUUUUUUGUAUGUGACUCAUAUACACUGAUUCAUUUCUUUUCGUGUGUGAUUCUUUCAGGGGAUGAGUUUACUACUAAGAUGUGAUUCUUCCACAGUGGAUUUCUUUUAACAUGUGAUUCAUUCACAUGAUUCCUUUUUUCCAUAUGUGAUUCAUAUACACUGAUUUAUCUCUUUAAUGUGAUUUUUUCACAGGAUUCAUUCAUUCAUUAUAACAAUGUGAUUCCUUCACAGGAUUCAUAUAUCUUUAUAAGUGAUUCUUUACAUCAUCAAUUCAUUUUCACUUGAUUAUUUAACAUGAUUUGUUCAUUUUUACGUGUGAUUCUUUCACAUGAUUCAUUAUUUUCGCAAGCGACUGUUUCUCACACAAUUAAUUUACUUUCACAUGUGAUUCUUUCCCAUUAUUCCUCCAUUAUCAGAUGUGAUUCUUUUAUCAGAUUCAUUUACUUUCAUACCUGGUUCUUUCACACAAUUUAUUUGCUUUCACUUGUGAUUCUUGUGGUAGCUCAUUGUUUAAGACUUUGGACUCCUGCUUGGAAGGGUAUGAGUUCAAAUCCCACCCCUGCUGAGUUAUAUAAUGUAUGACAUAUUCCCAAGUUCCCCUGGAUAAGUGUGUCUACCUCAUGCUGUAAAUGCACACUGAUUCAUUUAUUUUCACGUGAUACUUUCAUACAAUUCAUUUUUUCAUAUGUGAUUCAAAUAUUCUGAUUCAUCUCUUUCCAUUUGUGAUUCUUUCACACGAUUCCUUUUUGAUGUGAUUCACCUACACUGAUUCAUUUCUUUCCACAUGUAUUUCUUCCAUACGAUUCACUUCUUAUUAAGAUGUGACUCUGUCAAACGAUUCACUUCUUUACACAUGAUUCUCAUAUGUGAUUCUGGUCAGAUGGAUUUCUUUUUAACCUGAUUACUUCACAGGAUUCAUUCUUCAUACAUGAUUCUAUACUCUGUUUUCUUCUCACGUUAUUCUUUCAUAUGAUUCAUAUCCCUUCCCAAAUGAUUCCUUACGUGAUUCAUUCAUUUUCACUUGGUAUUAUGUAACAUGAUUCGUUUUUCCCCAUGUGACUCUUCAAAACAAAUUUCUUUCUUUUCAGACAUGAUUCUUUAACAUGUUACUAACAAACCUUCACGAGUCAUUUCACAUUACAAUAAUUAGGAACUGAUCACUGGGUAAAUGUGAAAGUACGACAGAGUAAACAUCCUUUUCCUGUGCAAGAGGCGUGUGUUUACACCACCAGUGUCUAAUACCACUGAGAAACGUUCGCUUCAUUUGCAGAUUGGGUGAAAGAUAUUGAGAAAGUGUUUGCGUGCACACAUUUUAAUCUUCCCUCAAUAACAUACUUUAACCAGCACACAAUAAACAAAUAAUUAUUGAUGAAACGAAUGAAUAAAUUCUUCAAGUAUGAGUUCUCCAGAUCAUAUUUUUGUCUUUAAAUACCCGAUUGAAAAGAAUAUCAGGAGACAAAUUUCUUCUAAACUCUAAAUGCACUGCUUUCAUCAUUUUAUUUCGUUUUCAUUUAUAAAUCAAUCGUUUACACAUUGCACGCACUUACGCUUUAAGCUUAUAAUGCGUUCCAGGCAAGACUUAGUCUCAUUAAUUCAUUCAGCGACUUGCAUCCGAGACCGGAUACUACACGUAAAUAAGUAAACUACCCUGUAGUAAAUAGUUUAUAGUGAUUAUUAUUUCCGAGAACCGCACGAGUCGCUGAACGAGCGGCCUUAAUGGUCCAGAGUUAAAAUCAUCUGCAACGUGAAACCGGUUUUAGUAUAAUCCACUGUUUAUUUUGUAUUAUAUUUAUACAUUUACUACAUUCUCAAGGCAGCCGAGAUCACUGAAUUGUCACGUUUUGUAACCUCUACUUAAUAUAGAAGUUAAUCAGUCCGUACAGGAUUUCGCCGAGUUUUAUUUCGAUUGUUGCGGCCACAAGUGCGAUUUUGCUUCGGCUUUUAAAAAAAAAAAUCCGAUGCAAUUUGUGGAGACUGUGCUUUUUUUGUGUGGAAAACUACUCGAAUUGGCGAAAUCGCAGUCGCACUACAUAGUUCUGCAUGCAGUGAUGUUCGUUGGUAAACGAGACGUUUUAGCUGUACUCGGGUUCGACGCACGCGUAUCGACGAGUGCUUCGGGUGAACGCGCGUCGUGAUGACGUCACGUGACGCGUCUCGGCCCGAACCUGCGGAAAAUCUGCAGUAAUUUUGAAAAAGCUCCUCCGAAUAUCACGGUGUUUGCUUGAUUUGGCGUUCAUUUCUGCAACAGAGUUCAAGAGUAUAAAAAAAAAACAACACACUUCAUACUCACUCAUACCUUUCCAAAUGUACAAGUUAAAAUUAAGCACCUAAAAACAAACAAAACAUUUUUAAAAAUCUUUUUGCUUCAUAAUUUUAAUUCCAUACAAACACAAUAAGACUGGUGCCACAACUCUACAGAACCUCCUGAUCUCCUAAACCCCCGUCUAGUUUAAUCUUGUACAAUAUAUAUAUAUAUUUUUUUAAAGUUUAAGAUUAGCUCUAAACCGUAUUAAAAGUUGUGCCAUGACCAGUCUGGACUAGUGGCUGUGCUCCAGCAGAAAAGACUCUAGAGUUCUGGUGUCUGCCACAUGGUGGCGCUCUUACUCCUAAAUCUAACAGGAUCAGGGUCCAUCUGAGAGGAUCAACAUCAUGUAGGAGAAAAGAGCACAGAGAAGACAGAGGUGUGGUGUAAAAAUCAGGUUUUAUUCUGAACAGGGUUUGAAAAUGCAUACACACAUUUAAGAAUAACAAAAUCAGCGCUGCAAAGUAGUCGAGCUCUCGGAUUGUAAAUAAAACGCCGUACACGCGAUUUCACACGCCGAUUCGGGAUCCGGUAAAUAACGAAUCGAACGCUAACCGAGUUCUUUCCAGCAGGCUGUUACAUUUUCAACACUUCUAAGCAUUCAAUUUAGAUCGAGUAACACUAUACUGACCGAAUUAAUCUGAGACGAGUAAACGAGUCAGACAAGUCAUUACACGCCCAUGUAAAGCACCUAAACUCCUCCAACAAAACAGGAUCAGGAACCUUUUUUUUUUAAUGUUUUUUUUUUUAAAGCUUACUUUACAUGAACUUUUAUGUAAAUGUGGUGUUAAAGAUCUAAAACAGACAGGUGAAGUGUUUUACUAACAUUUGAGCUUAAGAUCACAUUGGAUCAAGAAUCAACAUUUACCAUACAAAAAAAAAAAAAAAGGUUUAUAUUUGUGAUGAUUAUGAUUUUGGGAUUGAGGUGUGGUGUCUGUCGAAGUUUUUUUUUUUUUUUUUUUAAAAGCAGGGUAUAAUACAAACCGGACCAUUACAGUAUCGUCACUGCUGGCAUUCUCACAAACGCCGAUUUCUUUCUAUCCACUACCGUCCACCAAUUCUUUUUUUUUUUUAUACCGCCAAACCAGUUUUAAGGACUUUUUUUUUUAUAUCGCGUAGUUUUCCUUGAUUUCGCGUUCAUUUCUCCGAUAUAAAUUCCGCCAUAAAAUCUCUUACGUGGUCAGUAUAAGUCGCGUCGUCGUUAUAUAUUCAGCCCAACCAGAAUUUCGCAAUUGCAGAAGACAAAACCAAGCAAACGGCGCGAUAGUUUGCCGCAGAUUUGGCCCGAGACACAUCGUGUGACGUCAUCACGACAUGCGUUCUGCAGAAGCCCUCAUCGAACAGGAGUACAGCUGAAAGGUCUUAUUUACCAACAAAACAUCACUGCAAAAGUCCAUAGAUUUAGACUUAAUUAUCACGGUCAAAAUUGCAAACCAUAACGCCUCUAAAUGUACCACACACACACACACUUUACACUCAAGAAACAUCAGCACUGCAUACUGGCCUUCUACAAAACGAUAAAGCACUCGUUCCCACCCUUAAUCAUGGAGAAUCGUCUGUUUUUCCUGCACUACACACCUCAUUCAACCGAGAAACGGCUGUUAAUUAGGCAAUUAUCUGGUUCAGGUGUGUUAGAGUAGAGAAAUCACUGAAACUUGCCGUUCACUGGGUUCUCCAGACAACACGGGCCGCUGAUGCACAUCUCUAUAACCAUUUGAAGUGUCCUGUAUUUCAAAACGAGGAGAACUCACCUGUCUGGAAACCAGAAAAGAAAUAGAAGAGGAAAGAAGAAGCAGAACUGUGGCGCAUGCUGGGGAGAAUCUAAUAAUAAACGUGUUCCGCUGUAGGUUGUGUCAUGUGACGAUGGUUUAUCCAAUUGGGAGGCUUGAUCAAGCGCUGCAUUUAGCGUCUAUAAAUGCUGGCACUUCACACAGUUAUCUUAUAGUUUCAUAAUACGAGGCAUAACAUAAACCAUGGGCACCCCUCAAAUGUUCCUGCCUGGGGUCCUCACAGUCACAAGACUCUCCUCCGUCAAGGUCCAGGGUGACGAUCUUGGUCAUGGAGAACCCGCUGUCUUGCACAUUUUAGAGUUUUCCCCUCCUCCCAUCACACCUGACUCAACUAAUCAUCUAAUGAACAUCCAUUCCUAAGCUGAAUCCGGUGUGUUGGGAGCAGAACAUCAUGUGCAGGACAGGGGGUUAGGUUUCUAGGGCCAGGGUCAGGAACAUGUGCUGUAGAUCACCGAUAUUCAGAGUCCUGACGUUUCUUGAAUAUAAAAUUGUGUCCAAUCACUGACCAUCAUUGUUCUCAUUUACAUUUAUUUAUUUAGCAGACGCUUUUAUCCAAAGCGACUUACAAAUUAGGAAAUAAAUGCAAAGCGGGAUUGUUCCCAACAUCUAAUCACCCAAUCUCCACUGUUUCCAACAUCCAAUCUCCACUGUUCCCAACAGGCCAAUCACCCGAUCUCCACUGUUCCCAACAGGCCAAUCACCCGAUCUCCACUGUUCCCAACAGGCCAAUCACCCGAUCUCCACUGUUCCCAACAGGCCAAUCACCCGAUCUCCACUGUUCCCAACAGGCCAGGCACUGAUCUCCACUGUUCCCAAUGGCCAAUCACUUAUCUCCAUUGUUCCCAAUGACCAAUCACUGAUCUCCACUGUUCCCAACAGGACAGGCACCGAUCUCCACUGUUCCCAACAGGCCAAUCACUGAUCUCCAUUGUUCCCAACAAGCCAAUCACUGAUCUCCAUUGUUCCCAACAAGCCAAUCACUGAUCUCCAUUGUUCCCAACAAGCCAAUCACUGAUCUCCAUUGUUCCCAACAGCCAAUCACUGAUCACCACUCUUCAAUAACCAAUCCCAAUCACUGUUGUUCCCAGCCGAUCAAUCACUGAUCACCAUUGUUUGCCUCACCCUUGCACUUAUAAGCGCUCUUCUUGGAGACGCGAGUAAACAUUUCCAUCAGGACUACUUCAUUGUGUCCACACUCUUGACACAAAGUACAAUAAACACGUAAAAGUUUAGCUUGUGCAUGGCGCCAUGACCAAACAUGACUUCUUUCGAUAAGACAUCAAUUAUAUUUAGGAGAAACUAACUCCCAAUCUAUUAUUUUAUAUUCUAGUAAAACUCCAUUCUAUCCCGAAAAACCUUCCUUCCUUCCUGUACCCGCAUCGGAAACUCCACACACCAAUGAUCAGGAUUUAAUAAAAGUAAUAUGCAAAUUAACGUCUCCAUGACGUCACCCAGCGACUUCUAGCCACUUUCUGAGCAAGCUUUAGAUUCUUUCCCCUGAAAAGAGUGUUGGCAACAGAGAGAAGUCCUCUCUAACCUGACUUACUGGUGAAGCAGAUAAUGUGAUCCUGCCGCCGUGGCACGACAGCGAUUCCCUCGAUUUGUUUUUUCAGCCUAGUCAAUCUGGAUCAUUUAAUCAGUGGCCUGAAAUGACUUCUUAGACGCUGAAAAAUAUAUAAUAAGGAAGGAGACACGUUUAGCUGGGGCAAAUGAUUCAGCCUGACUUCUCUCUCUGUCUCGUCCUUACAAAACAACAACCCUGAACAGAACAGACUCCAUUUUUAUUACACAGACGCCUCCGCCAUACUGAAACACCAAUAACACCCCCGACGACAGAUUAGAGCCGUUUUUAUAAUCAUUAUUAUUUUAAAUAAUAUAGCUAAGAACAUGCUCUUUAACCAAAUACACAUGUACGUGUAUAUAGAUUAAAAAAAAACCUCAGCGACGCUGAAAACACACCCAAGUUACAUAUAACAAAGCUUUUACUGUUAGCUGGCUAAGAAAACUAGCUGGCUAGCUAACUAACCUGCUGCCUAAUGUUCGAUAAUUAGCUAGUACUUAAAAACAAACCGACAUACUAGCUCAUAAUCGUUUCAACAUCGAACAAAUUGUCGUUUUAAUGUCCGACCGAAGACAAUUGCUAGACCAACAUUAUGCUAGCUAGCUAGCUUACUUAGCAUUGCGCGCGUGCAAGAGCAAGUUACCGACACCCCCCCCCCCGUACUUGACAAAUAAAUAAAUAAAUAACUAAUAAGCUAUACUACACACCCUUUUCUACAGUAAUAACAUAACAUUAACGUGUAUUUCAGUGCUACUUUAUCAAAAACAAUCACCAUGGCAACUAAUCUCACCUAGAUACACAAAGUACUUGGCAACUUAGCCAGCAUUUGUUAUUAUUUUCUUUGUUUUCUUAAAUACUUCAGUUUCGACAAUAAGAGUUACCUCGACUGGCUAAUCGAGCGGAAUAUUAAUAUUAUUUUAAGGACGAAAAAAAAACAAGACUAAAAUUCCACCUGACGACCUAAAAGGUGACUUACAAAAUCGUCUAUUCUAGGUUUAGGAAAUCAAAUUAAAUGUAUAAACGAUGUGGGUCUUUAAAACAUUAUUUAUCGUCGAUAUGAAGACUCGGGAAUUAAUUUGUAUUAUCCCCUCACUUCACUGUUGUUGUGGAGGAGAGAGAACUAUGCUAAGCUAAGAAGCUAAAACCACGGCCGCCAUGUUGUGCUUUAACGUCCUCCUUCGAAAGACGGCGAGUUGUAGCACGAGAAAAAAAAUUCUCUAUUUUUAUUUAUUUAUUUAUUUUUUAAAAAGCGCUAAAUCAAGGUGGUGAUCAAAGUCAACGACGUGUAACGAAUAUAGUGUAGAAUAUAAAAUAGAAUAUAGUGUAGAAUAUAGAAUAGAAUAUAGUGUAGAAUAUAGAAUAUAGUAUAGUGUAACGAAUACUACAGUAUAUCAGUGACGUAGUGUAAUUUAAAUAACACGGAGAUAAAUGCUAACCUUCAUACUAUAUUAUAACGUUAGUAUUACACCCAGUGUUACCUAACGCACUUUUUUGUUUCAGACGACAAAAUACUAAUAAUAGUAAUAAUAACAACAAACACAAGACGUCUACAUUAAAGUAAAAUUCGCUAUUGUCUUAACAUAUCAUCGGAAUCAUUUCUCAAAUAGUGUUUUUUUUUAAGCUCGUCUUUCUGUUUCUAUAGAUUAGUGUUCUCUAACGUUAUCCGCUGGAGCCUUACGACGGCCUACAACGUAAAAUCUCAAAAAAAAUAUGGAUCAAAACUUAAAAUACGUACCACCCUUUUAAGCAAUCGUCUCACAAACACUAAACGAUACCUUCUGACAUUUUGUAUAUAAAAAUGAUUAAAAGAUGUAGUUGGUACAAAGCUCCAGGCUUUCCGGGGGCUUUCCAACUCCGCAUACCGAAAUUCAGUGUCAGUUGUCCGGCCAUUGCUUUAACUCGACUCCGAGGCUUCUUGCAAUUUCCCAUAAAACAGUAGCAAAUGUUAAGAAAUGCUACCAAGAAUAGCGGUCAUACUUAAAAUCAUGCUAAAGAAUAUUGUCAAAACGACUUUGAGCCGUUUAUCAUUAAAACUAAAGAAAAUGUAUAUGUUUGGAUCUUCAAUGGUUGAGGUAGGCCUUUCGCGCGAGCUUCGUUUCCAACACUCGUAGCUGGUCCAGGGCGAGACGGACGGAACAGUAGCGUUUUU
ensembl:lncRNA